rnacentral:rRNA from 1 species
GACGAACGCUGGCGGCGUGCUUAACACAUGCAAGUCGAGCGGUAAGGCCCUUCGGGUACGACGAGCGGCGAACGGGUGAGUAACACGUGGGUGACCUGCCUCUAGCUCUGGGAUAAGCCUGGGAAACUGGGUCGUAAUACCGGAUAUGACUCCACGGCGCAUGUUGUGGGGUGGAAAGCCUUGUGUGGCUAGAGAUGGGCCCGCGGCCUAUCAGCUUGUUGGUGGGGUGAUGGCCUACCAAGGCGACGACGGGUAGCCGGCCUGAGAGGGCGACCGGCCACACUGGGACUGAGACACGGCCCAGACUCCUACGGGAGGCAGCAGUGGGGAAUCUUGCGCAAUGGGCGAAAGCCUGACGCAGCGACGCCGCCGUGAGGGAGUGACGG